rnacentral:lncRNA from 1 species
ACACGAUCAUGUCCUUGUAGCUGAUACAAUGAUGCGACAUGAUAGUAUGAUACGGACAUUAUGUUUUGCACACCAUAUUUUGGAUAAAAAAAGAUUUAAUUUUUGUUAGUCCGAUGCUUUUCACAGUUUCACUUUCUAAGGUCAUGUUUAGUUUCUCCCAAAAUCCCAACUUUGACACUAUGCAAAAAGAAGAUUUCCCAUCACAUCAAACUUGCGAUACAUGCAUGAAGUACUAAAUGUAAAUGAAAUCAAAAACUAAUUGCACAGUUUUGUUGUACUUUGCGAGACGAAUCUUUUGAGCCUAAUUAGUCAAUUUUUAGACAAUAAUUCACAAAUACAAACGAAAUGCUACAGUUGCGCAUUUAUGACAAACUCCCAACUUUGGUACUCCCAAAUUGGGAACUUGGCCUAAGUUUUGGUGAGCGACUCUCUUCACUGACAGGGACUUCACGGUUCAGUCAUUGGCAGCUGGCAGAUACAGAUUUUUUUAAGUACGGACAUCAUACAUAGGUCACUACCUAAUUGAUUAUUCGUCUGUCUAGAGGACAGUUCCGAUUAGUUCUUAUUUUCUGAGUAUUUGCGAGGAAGUACGAUCCAAAUUUUAAUUAUAUCUAAACUAAAGGCACCGAUUAUCCUGAAAUGUGGGGAAAAUGUGGUUUUUAAUUUAUUCACUUCUAGAAGCGACUUUAUUAAUUUAUCUUUCUGUUCGAUCUCAACACAUAAUUAUCUUUUUAAGAAAUUUGAAUUUUUAUGAUAUCCAUCGAACCGC